rnacentral:rRNA from 1 species
GUGGGGAAUCUUCCGCAAUGGACGAAAGUCUGACGGAGCAACGCCGCGUGAGUGAUGAAGGUCUUCGGAUUGUAAAGCUCUGUUAAUCGGGACGAAAGAGCCUAGUGUGAAUAAUGCUAGGAAGUGACGGUACCGGAAUAGAAAGCCACGGCUAACUACGUGCCAGCAGCCGCGGUAAUACGUAGGUGGCAAGCGUUGUCCGGAAUUAUUGGGCGUAAAGCGCGCGCAGGCGGAUCUGCCAGUCUGUCUUAAAAGUUCGGGGCUUAACCCCGUGAUGGGAUGGAAACUACAGAUCUAGAGUAUCGGAGAGGAAAGUGGAAUUCCUAGUGUAGCGGUGAAAUGCGUAGAUAUUAGGAAGAACACCAGUGGCGAAGGCGACUUUCUGGACGAUGUCUGACGCUGAGGCGCGAAAGCUAGGGGAGCGAACGGGAUUAGAAACCCGGGUAGUCC